UGUUGGUGGAUGAGUGGCGAACGGGUGAGUAACACGUGAGUAACCUGCCCCUGAUUUCGGGAUAAGCCUGGGAAACUGGGUCUAAUACCGGAUACGACCUCCUGACGCAUGUUGGGUGGUGGAAAGUUUUUCGAUCGGGGAUGGGCUCGCGGCCUAUCAGCUUGUUGGUGGGGUAAUGGCCUACCAAGGCGACGACGGGUAGCCGGCCUGAGAGGGCGACCGGCCACACUGGGACUGAGACACGGCCCAGACUCCUACGGGAGGCAGCAGUGGGGAAUAUUGCACAAUGGGGGAAACCCUGAUGCAGCGACGCAGCGUGCGGGAUGACGGCCUUCGGGUUGUAAACCGCUUUCAGCAGGGAAGAAGCGAAAGUGACGGUACCUGCAGAAGAAGUACCGGCUAACUACGUGCCAGCAGCCGCGGUAAUACGUAGGGUACGAGCGUUGUCCGGAAUUAUUGGGCGUAAAGAGCUCGUAGGUGGUUGGUCACGUCUGCUGUGGAAACGCAACGCUUAACGUUGCGCGUGCAGUGGGUACGGGCUGACUAGAGUGCAGUAGGGGAGUCUGGAAUUCCUGGUGUAGCGGUGAAAUGCGCAGAUAUCAGGAGGAACACCGGUGGCG
rnacentral:rRNA from 1 species